rnacentral:tRNA from 1 species
UAGUUCAGUUGGUAGAGCAUGGUGUUUGCAACGCCAGGGUUGUGGGUUCGAUUCCCAC